AACGCGAAGAACCUUACCAGGUCUUGACAUCCGAUUAAAGCCGUAGAGAUAGGGUGUUCCUUCGGGAGAAUCGAGACAGGUGGUGCAUGGUUGUCGUCAGCUCGUGUCGUGAGAUGUUGGGUUAAGUCCCGCAACGAGCGCAACCCUUAUGGUCAGUUACUAACGCGUAGAGGCGAGGACUCUGACAAGACUGCCGGGGACAACUCGGAGGAAGGUGGGGACGACGUCAAAUCAUCAUGCCCCUUAUGACCUGGGCUACAAACGUGCUACAAUGGUGACAACAAAGAGGAGCGAGACCGUAAGGUGGAGCGGAUCUCAAAAAAGUCAUCCCAGUUCGGAUUGUGGGCUGCAACCCGCCCACAUGAAGUUGGAGUUGCUAGUAAUCGCGGAUCAGCAUGCCGCGGUGAAUACGUUCCCGGGUCUUGUACACACCG
rnacentral:rRNA from 1 species